rnacentral:sRNA from 1 species
GGAUAGUGCGUGAGGGAUAGCAGUGAAAAUCCUUUUUAUGAGGCACGAAUAAAAAGAUUGCAACGGAUAGCCCGACCCUUU